rnacentral:rRNA from 1 species
UACAGGGGGGGCAAGCGUUGUUCGGAAUUACUGGGCGUAAAGGGCUCGUAGGCGGCCAACUAAGUCAGACGUGAAAUCCCUCGGCUUAACCGGGGAACUGCGUCUGAUACUGGAUGGCUUGAGUUUGGGAGAGGGAUGCGGAAUUCCAGGUGUAGCGGUGAAAUGCGUAGAUAUCUGGAGGAACACCGGUGGCGAAGGCGGCAUCCUGGACCAACACUGACGCUGAGGAGCGAAAGCGUGGGGAGCGAACAGG